rnacentral:rRNA from 1 species
AUACGGAGGAUCCGAGCGUUAUCCGGAUUUAUUGGGUUUAAAGGGUGCGCAGGCGGCCAUUUAAGUCAGCGGUUAAAUCGUGGGGCUCAACCCCAUUCUGCCGUUGAUACUGGGUGGCUUGAUUGCGGUCGAGGUUGGCGGAAUUCGUUGCGUAGCGGUGAAAUGCAUAGAUAUGACGAAGAACACCGAUUGCGUAGGCAGCUGACCAGACCGCAAAUGACGCUCAUGCACGAAAGUGCGGGGAUCGAACAGGAUUAGAUACCCUGGUAGUCCGCACAGUAAACGAUGAAUACUUGUUUUCGGCGAUAUAAUGUCGGAGGCAAAGCGAAAGCGAUAAGUAUUCCACCUGGGGAGUACGCCGGCAACGGUGAAACUCAAAUGAAUUGGCGGGU